rnacentral:lncRNA from 1 species
CAAACCUGGGUUAAUUUCUUGUUCCCACCAACUCCCUCCCCACAACCAUCCCAUCAGCUAGGAUAAACUCCUGGUCUGAGCCCACACACUCCGGCUCCUGCUCCCUGAUGUGGGCCCAUAUCUGAACCCCACUGCAGCUGGGUAGCUGAGUCUUAGCUGUCGCUUGGUCACCUCUAGGCUCCCUGUAGUCCUGUGCCCCCAACUCCCUGCCCACUAGUGUCUGCUCCCAUUGUCUCUUGUUAGAACUGCUUUGUUUAAAAAUCUUUAAAGUUUAAAAAGCGUAAAGGCAAGAGUUCAAUUUGUUUUGAGAAAAA